ACGUACAGCGAGGAGCAAUCGGGCAGCAUUUAUCAGCGCUUGGCAGGCUUGUGUGCUCAGUGUUACUCCACGACACCGAUACGAAGGUGACAGGAACCAGCCAAAGGCCGGGCAGGCGGGAGACCGUUUUGGUCCUUUCCUCACCGUCUGCCACACGCAACCUCACAAGCUCCUGAUCCCGCUAUGACCACACAAAAUACCCCAAACCGAUCUACCAACUGAAGGCCAGCUUUUGUCCUCCCUUCUCCCCAAGACACUGUCCAUAAGACCCUCGCCCGUCUGCUGGUAUUCUGAAUCCAGUGUCGUGAUAAGAAAGUUAUUUGUUUUACAGUAACGGGAGGUCCUCAAGAUGCAUCAUCCACAUCUGUUCCCUUCCUGGUCUGCUUGGCCCCCCCAUGCACUUGUAGCCAGCGAUGUCCCUCGGGGCUGCACCUGGGCUGUAAAUGCCCUUCUGUUCCCCCCGGAGGGCACUGACCUUGGAGCAGGCUCAACCUCCAUUCAGCUCCUUUGCCACUGCAGGAAGCUGACGAUGACAAAGGAGAGUGCAGGCGCAGGGAGCGAGGUGGUGCAAUCCAUCCGGACCACACAUCUAAGGGCGCUCCAGUCACGGUCAGGAAAGAAGACAAGGAGGUCCUACUGGCGAUGCUGUAUUUCCACAAUCUUCUCAGUGUUUGAGAUCAAAAAAGGAAGUGUUCACAGACAAGUGCAAUAAAGAACGGGCUGCUGGGGUUGCAUGUCAAAUCGAUGCCCAGAAAGCUCAACAAAACCCCAGUGAGAUCCUAUGUAUAUGGGUUUCCUUAUCAGUAGAAAAACAUAAGCCAGAUCCUGAUGAAAUGCAGCCGUUGUGAGAAAGAAAAAAACCCCCAACUCUGUAGCUCUCAAAAGGAAGGUGAUUUGCAGAAAUGGCUUCCAGGUGCACUCCACUGGAGCUAAUCAACAAUCUGGAGGUUUCCAGAGAGAGCAAAUGGUCCAAAAUUGCACAAAUCUGAGACUCAACUAGGUGUAGCUGACUCCAUGCACAGCACAUCCUGAAUCUCUUCUCUUCGGCAGCAUCGGUUUGUCUGAUAGGAUCUUUCUUAUUCUGCACCAGAAUGGUUUGGACACCGGGGGAAUAUGAUCCACCCGUGCCUGACGUCCAUCCCAUAACCAGACUGCAAGAGGGAAGGCAGCUGGACUCAAGGUGGACAGCAACACGUGUAAGGACUUGGGAAACAUCCUUACUGCUAUGGGAAGACUGAAUGGCAGGCUUGAUACGGGAGCACAAGGACAUGUAGGGGGUCUGUAGAGCCCCAGGUGAAUCUUGCUGGGGUGAAGACUCCAAUUUUAAGGGCAUGGGAACCCAAUAUGUAUCAAGUACAUUUUGGACAAACACGUGGAGAAUGACUAUUCCCUCUUCACAGUCUCUUGCUGCCUCUGUUCCUAAUUCAAAUGCUGAUCUCUCUAUCUCACCUCUACAGCAGGUCCCUUCACACUCAUCUCCAACACAGAUUUUACCACCUAAUAGUUCAAACCCUCCUUUGAGUUGCCUGCAUCAAUACUCAGGGCCCAGUUCUUAUGGAAGCAAUAGGAGGUACUGUGAUAUAAAUAUCACAUUAUGAUAUGCCCAUUAUUCAAACACCAGUGUUCUCUGUGUAUGAUGGAUGCCUGAACUUCUUAGAUCCUCUCUCAAAUCAACAUGGCAUAGAGUGGAAGAACUUUCUGUCCUUUCUAGACUCAAGAGAUUUCUCCAAUCUUUUUUCCAAUCCUAUCUGAAGAUCAAGGGUUGAAUUCCAUCAAAUCCCUAUUCCGUCCUCAUUAAGAACAUGAGAAAAGUGACCCAUUGCCUCUGCAGAACAUGCUAGUCUUUAUAGUCUGCAGUCACGGGUACAGUAUUCAGAUGCUAAGGCUGAGAGUCACGGGGUAGAAUUUAUCUAGCCUGACCUAUUAUGACAGCUCUCAAGACUUCUCUUUUAAAUAAAUUAAAUGCUUUCAUGUAUUUCCACACACACAGUUUUUCCAAGUGAAUCAUUAAAAAGAGAUGCCCCCUGCCCAUCUCAGUGUGUUGAAACACUAGGAACUUUCAUUCUCUUUUGGAACAGAGUUUUCAGUGUGUCUGCAUUCACUACCAAGUACACCAGAUUAUCGCCAUGUCAUGGUAUGUGUCUGCCGCUUGAGCCCUGUUGUGAGUUAAUUCAUAGCGUAUUGGUACCUUUAUACUAAUAGUGUUACCCAUCAGGAGAUUCUUAUGUGAUACUCACUCCCUUUCCAUGCAGUUACCAGCCCAAAAGCACCGAUACAGUUCUGUUGUGUGCUAGCCUGCUGCAAUACGAUCACAACAGGAUAGUGCAGGCCACUCAUUGCCCUGUUAUGAUCCUAGUAACUUCAGUGCAGUGCGGUGACAUCAGCAAAGUUAUUCUUGUUUUUCACUGGCACUACGGAGAUCAGCAUCUGCCAUCAUUCUAAAAGAUGAUAUAACGCUGAACAGUCACAAUUUUAAUUCACGUCACACAGACAAGUUUGUAGCAAGUUUGUUCACAUUGUAUGAAAAGGGAGCAAACUAGAGCUAGACUGAAGUCUCCAUUACAACAUAGCCUGUGUUUUAUAAGCACCUCCACUUUCCCUACAAGAGAAAACACCAAAAAAAUUUACAAGAGUGUCGAUGCCAAAACAUACCAGUUUCAUUGACACUGGUUUAAUCAUUUAAGGGCACUGCUGAGGAAAAUGUUCCACAUCCUAUCCACAUGCUAAAAACAACCCAUCUAACCAGAGACCAGCACAAAUGGGAAAGGCCAGACCUGAACUUCCUCAAAGUUCGGGGUGCUCAGAAAAAGGGUUUUGAAUUCAGGCAUUUCCUACUUUCAAGUAUUUCCACAGAGAUGGGGCCUUCAAUGCUAAGCCAUUUGUGAAAUAGAUCUCUCAGGACCACUCGGACAGCUUCAGUUCUGAGCCUCUAAAAAUCAAAGGUCUGCCCACACCUAGGUGGCUCAUCAGGCUAGCAUGUAUAAGGCACAUAUGUCCAUGGCCAACAGGAAUG